rnacentral:rRNA from 1 species
GACGAACGCUGGCGGCGUGCUUAACACAUGCAAGUCGAACGGAAAGGCCCUGCUUUUGUGGGGUGCUCGAGUGGCGAAUGGGUGAGUAACACGUGAGUAACCUGCCCUUGACUUUGGGAUAACUUCAGGAAACUGGGGCUAAUACCGGAUAGGAGCUCCUGCUGCAUGGUGGGGGUUGGAAAGUUUCGGCGGUUGGGGAUGGACUCGCGGCUUAUCAGCUUGUUGGUGGGGUAGUGGCUUACCAAGGCUUUGACGGGUAGCCGGCCUGAGAGGGUGACCGGCCACAUUGGGACUGAGAUACGGCCCAGACUCCUACGGGAGGCAGCAGUGGGGAAUAUUGAACGAUGGGCGGAAGCCUGAUGCAGCAACGCCGCGUGCGGGAUGACGGCCUUCGAGUUGUAAACCGCUUUCGCCUGUGACGAAGCGUGAGUGACGGUAAUGGGUAAAGAAGCACCGGCUAACUACGUG